UACGGAGGGUGCGAGCGUUGUCCGGAAUCACUGGGCGUAAAGGGCGCGUAGGUGGCCCCUUAAGUGUGUGGUGAAAGCCCCGGGGCUCAACCCCGGGUCGGCCAUGGCAAACUGGGGGGCUGGAGCACUGUAGAGGCAGGCGGAAUUCCGGGUGUAGCGGUGGAAUGCGUAGAGAGUCCGGAAGAACACCGGUGGCGAAGGCGACUCUUUGGCCUGUAACUGACGCGUGAGG
rnacentral:rRNA from 1 species